rnacentral:lncRNA from 1 species
CCAUUAAAUCUCCAACUCUUACUUUUAUUCACCUAGAGCAUCAAUCUCUUAUUCUUGUGGACAGCUAAUGAAAGAUCAAAUAAUUUGGUCAGCAUUGGAAGAUACAAAAUACAUUCAAGACUUUCAUAACAGGAUUGUUAUAAAACAGCAUAGCAUAACUACUAAGACUCAGAUAAAGCAAAAAAAAAAUCUACAAACAUUGGGAUUUUCUUAUGCUUUAAUGCAUUUACAUGGAAUAAUAGUGUAUGUAAAAUAUUAAUGCUUUUAAACUCACACUAGGUCAGCCUGACCUAGCAGUAUGCCCGUCAUCACUGAAAAAAAUAAAAUCUGGCAUAUCUGCAUGACACUGGUUAACUCCAUGGGUACUGGGAUGAAGGAACAUUGAGAAAAUAUGGCUCAAGUGGCCAUGACCCAUAAGAGUUGAGUAAUUUUUGAUGUAGACAAUAGGGUAAUGUUUCCAGGGUAGGAUGAAUCUCAUAAUAAAGGGGCACUCUAAUUUUGUGCUGGGGGAACAAGACAAUAGACACUAUUGAAUAAACUGCCUAGGGAGAAUUUACGUGAUAUUAUAAUUUUCACCCUAUAACCCCAGAUCUCUCUCCAAAACUCUACUCUCCAUUAUCACCUCCCCUUGUGUACCAGACAUCAAUAAUGAGAAAUUGUACUGUCACCUCAACUGUAAUAUCUCUUAAAUAAAAUUUCUCUUGUCUUUGAGCUCUGUUUUUUAACUUUCCUGUAUUUGAUAAAGAUCUUCUCUAGGUUACCCAAGUUUGAAAUGCUGGAGCUACCUGUGACUCAUAUAUCUGUUUUACUGACGAAACCUGGAUUUUGUCUAAAAACUGACUUGUUAUUCUUUACUCAUCUUUUGAUGAUGUUAUUGUUAUUUGACUUAAUUCAUUGUUCGCUUUUCCUCUGGGUUUUAUUAAUACAUUCAGGUUCAGUUCAAGACAUUUUUUUCAUGCAAUUUUGCCUGAUUUAUGCCCUUGCUCUUCCUCUUCUCUAACCUUCAACAAUGGUUGAUUUCUACCAAAAGACACCAUUAAAUUGUUGCCUGCCUUAUGAUGUUUGAUGUUGUGUGCA